UUGUCAUAGAAUCCAUGGAAAAUAUAAAAUGACCAGUGGCUUUGUAAUAAUCCAGUAAUUAAAAAAAUUAUUAUGUAAUAUUAUGUUUUAAUGAUAAUUGUAUUAAUUCAUGGAACAAGUAUGACAAGAAAGAAAGUCGGUGCAGUGGUAGCUGUACAAGCAUCCUCUCGAUAAGUCUCAAGCUCGAAUGGCUAAAGGGAGAUUUUUUAUCCUCUUUAUUUUAUGAAAUUACUGAAUUAUGUUUCUUGAAAUCUGAAUAUAUUUCCUCCUCUUGCUCGAUUUUUCUAGAUCUUGGAGGAGAGAGAAGAGCUGAUUCAUCCAUUUCUCCAUCUUUCCCCUGCACUUCAUCUCUUCCCUCCCGUUCCUGGUGGUCGCUGGCAGAAGUAGAGCCUCGUCAAAGCUGUGCAAAGCUCAGGAGCUGUUGGUUUUGCCAUCGCGAGCUUGAUCUGCUGCUGUUAAUUCAAUUUCUUCUCUCUUUUACGAGCUGUGUUCGGUUUCCCUCUCCCCUGUGCAGCCAUCUAAACCAUCUCCUUUCUUCUUGCUUUCUACCGUGGAUUUAAGCUGUGAAUUUGUCUUCUCUUUUUCUUCGGCUAGCAGUGCCUCUUGUUCUCUUCUUCCUCUGCUAUUAUUGGGGAUUAAGGUGAGAAUUAUUGAGCAUUACUUCUUAACAGCAUGUGGGAGUUAAAGAGUAAGUUGAUGAGUAAAAUUAUAGAAAUUUUUAUACUUGCUCUGUUGCUGCCCGUACUGAUGAAAGUAGGAGAAGAUUUAAAUUUGAGUUGGGAAUUUAUCUUAAAGUUUGAUAAUAAUAUUUACACACAGAGACAUGU